rnacentral:lncRNA from 1 species
UGGGCAUAUCAGACAACUCCUCGCAUACCAAUAGAAGAAUCAUCAUUCAACUUGGCCUAGGAACAGAGGCAGUAAUCUCACUCGAGAUCGGAUUGCCAUCAGUGAGAGUAGAAUGAUAUAAUGAGCCGAGUAAUUUUGAAUGUCGGAGAGCCAACCUAGACUUACUCCUAGAAGUUCGAUAGCAAGCUCAAAUUUGAAUGACAGUAUAUCGG